GGGCGGCGCGUGCGCGGCAGCCCCGGCUGAGGCGGGGGGUGGGCGGGAGGGUGGCAGGGGUGCGCGCGUGGCGCGCGCCAUGGCGGCCAACGAGGACCAGGAGAUGGAGCUGGAGGCGCUGCGCUCCAUCUACGAAGGUGACGGCUGCUUCAGGGAGCUCAGCCCCGUGUCCUUCCAGUACCGGAUAGGUGAAAAUGGAGAUCCAAAAGCCUUUCUAAUAGAAGUCUCUUGGCCAGAAACAUAUCCGCAAACAGCACCAAUCUUAUCAAUGGAUGCUUUUUUCAACAACACGAUAUCUUCAGCUAUUAAACAAAGCAUAUUGGAUAAGUUGAUGGUAGAAGUUGAAGCUAAUCUUGGAACUGCUAUGACUUACACACUUUUUGAAUAUGCCAAAGAUAACAAAGAGCUGUUCAUGGAAAAUCAGCCUGUUAACACUGUGACUUCAGUAAGCAAUAGUAUUGCAAUUGGAGCUCCCGAUGUGCCAGCAAGUAAGAAAAAGGACAAAAAGGAGCAGUUAUCCAAAACCCAGAAACGAAAGCUAGCUGACAAAACAGAUCACAAAGGGGAGCUUCCUCGAGGAUGGAACUGGGUGGAUGUAAUUAAGCAUAAUUCAGGAUUCUGCAUCCUUGGAAGGCUGUAACUAGCUGAUACCCACAGAAGAGUUCAUAUUUGUGAACAACCCCUACAGUUGUCAUUCCAUUGAUUUACUUUUUAAUCUUUUUCUCUGAAAAGUGCUGCAAGAAAUUGCAGAGAGUAUUUCACGUGGAAUUUUUGUGGUUUCCCAAUGAAAAAAAGGGAAAGCAGUAACAUAGGGGAAAACAAUGUCAAUUAAAAUAAAAUGGAAGAUUUGAAACUUCUAUGUAAUUCAUCUGCAUUGUCAUUAAACUCUUCCACAAAAGAAAAAAGUGGGCAGUUUAUGGAAAAGUAAUUUUUACUCAGAAAUUUCUAAGCGUGAUGCACCAUUGUCUUGGUCAAAGACUGAACUAAGUGAUUGAACUGCAAAAUUUUCUGGGGAAUAAAAAUCAGUCAAUGCUGAGACAUAAACUCCUACUACAAAGGGAUGUUUUCAGCAAUGAUCCUACACACAGGCAGCAAGCUUAGAGCAAACGGCUGAGCUCUUUCCAGGAUGUACGUAAGGUAUUUCAGGAAUUUGCACCACUUGCUCUCAGACAGGAUGCAUCCACUGAACUUCUUUCACAGAAAGAUCAAUUCCAAGUUUUUCUCCCAGAAACAUUACAUGUCAGGAUGAAAAGGCAAGUGUUUACAACUGGGAUGAGGAAAUUCUGGCACGUUUGGCAGUGUCGACCUCUGUGAGUUCAGCAGCAAGCUGCUGUUUGUUUUAUGUUUGUCAGCAUGAACCUAUGUAGAACAUGGCAUGGUAGAGAGAACUUGGAAUGUCUCACCUGUCUGUAAAACUGAUGUGUUCUUUUUCUUUUGAGUAAUGGUUUCCUGUAAUGUUUCAGAUCAAGUGCAAAUUCCCUUCCCCAUUCAGCUCCUACUGUCAUCAUAACUGUUUUUUCUGGUCAGGCAGAGUUAUACCAGUGUGCUGAUUAAUUGGAUAUGAUCAGUUCAGACAGGCUCUGGGGCUGUAAGCAACAUCUGAGCCUGAAUGAGGCUUUAACACGGCUUCAUUUCACCACGGAUAGUUGUUUACCUUUACUGUCCUUACCUUUACUAAUUUUGCUUCUUUUUUUGUGCACCCAGCUAAAACCCAGUUGUCAUUCCUGGCACAAGAACCUGCAAAUCAGCUGUCCUAUUAAACUGAUAUUGUCAAAUAUAUUGUGAGCAAACGAGUCACACUCUUCUUACCAGGCAGGGAUGCUGAUCACUAUGCUAGUGCUGUUCCCAAGCCAAGGAAGGGGCAGGCAUUGUUGCCUGUAGAGCUUCAUGUUUUUUUUAUCUGCUAGUCAGGGCUCCAAACCAGACUUCUGGGACCAAGGGAAAUCAAUAUUCAUAUCAUUUCUGCUUUUGCAGCUAUCAUAUCUGAGAGAUGUUCUUCAUGUAGGAAUUCUGGCUACAGUGUAUUGUGUGCUGUGCCUCUGAGAAACCCACACAAGGACGUAUUUCCAAUCUGCCAUAUUUUGCACAUGAUACGCACAGCCAUCAGUGCUGAAAGCAGUCUCAGGUCAAGAGUGCAGGAAUUGUCAGAAAGCACUAUUUUUCUAUCAAGUGAACAAGGACUUUUUGUGGAAAGCAAAUGAAACCACUGUAUUUUUUUCAUUUGCAAGUGUCCUUUCCAGUGUUCUUCCAUGUGGCUGACCUGAAGGAACCAGGUGGUCUCUCAGAUCCCAUGAGUGGGAAAUAGAUGAAAAUUGCAAAAGUAACGUACUGCAUUUAUUCACCAGGAAAACCUCAAAACUUUAAAAGUAAGGAGAUGCCAUUUCACAGCUGCUCUGUAUUAUCACUGGAGUAAGGGUUUUGGUUAGUUUGAUUCAGCAACAGUUAGUCAAAAUCAGUUGCGUAGAAAGGUAGUUAUAUGAACCUACAAAUUAAGGCUAGCCUAGAAAAAUGUUCAUCCCACUUGGCAUAUUUUUUUGUAGGGGGAAUAAACCCCCCAAUACAUUUGAAGUGAAGUUACAACAAAGAAAUGAUAUAAAGGGAAAUUAUGAAGAAGCCUUAUUUCAGUGCAUGUGGAGCUCUUUCUCUAAUUACUCCCUAUAUUAUUUUGGCUCUGUUGUGUUUGAUAUUUAGGGCAAGUUUAUCUCUGUGUGAUGGCAGAUUAAUCUUUUGUUUUUUGACAGAGGAAUUGCAUUUUUCACAAUGUGAAAAUAAACUUACUUGGAGUUCUUUAUACAGGAUGACAGCCCUAUUUCUCAAAGUAGCAGAGGACUUCCCCAAAGACUUGUGACACUCUGUCCUGGCUGUAUCAGUUUUCUCUCUUCUGCAUGUUUCCCCUUUUUCCUUUCUCAUACAGGAUUAAAUGUUUCAUUGGAAGAAAAAAAAAUUGGAUGACCUAAAGAAUCAGAUAAAAGAUUGUAGAGUAAGAAGAGGUAGUAUGGAGUUUACAAAUUACUUGGAAAAAGUGGCAAAGGCACCCCCUCUCUAGCUUAUGAUUGGUUUCCUAGGUAAGUUAAUUUAGAAAGAUUGAAACAGAAAUAUUUAAAAGAAAAAAAAAAUUACAUUGUUGGAACAGAUUUUUUUUGUUGUUUUUUAAAUUAUUGUUUAUCCAGUCAAUUAUGCACUUGUCCUGGUUUUGGCUGGGAUAGAGAUAAUUUUCUUAAUAGGGUCUGGUAUGGUGCCAUGCUUUGGAUUUAGGGCGAUAAGAAUGUUGAUAACACACGGAUGUUUUAGUUGUUACAGGGCAGUGUGAGUCAAGGACUUUUCAGCUUCUGGUGCUGCCCUGCCAGCGAGGAGGCAGGAGGUGCCCAAGGAGCUGGGAGGGGACACAGACAGGGCAGCUGGCCCAGAGGGAUGUCC